rnacentral:rRNA from 1 species
GACGAACGCUGGCGGCGCGCUUAACACAUGCAAGUCGAGCGAUGAAACUUUAACAGAACCCUUCGGGGCGAAGAUAAAGUGGAUUAGCGGCGGACGGGUGAGUAACACGUGAGUAACCUGCCUUAGACAUUGGGAUAGCCUCGGGAAACCGGGAUUAAUACCAAAUAAAAUCAUAAUGACACAUGUCAUAACGAUCAAAACUCCGGUGGUCUAAGAUGGACUCGCGUCCCAUUAGCUAGUUGGUAGAGUAAAAGCCUACCAAGGCGACGAUGGGUAGCCGGCCUGAGAGGGUGAACGGCCACAUUGGAACUGAGAAACGGUCCAAACUCCUACGGGAGGCAGCAGUGGGGAAUAUUGCACAAUGGAGGGAACUCUGAUGCAGCGACGCCGCGUGAACGAAGAAGGCUUCCGAGUCGUAAAGUUCUUUUAUAUGGGAAGAUAAUGACGGUACCACAAGAAAAAGCCCCGGCUAACUACGUG